AAAAUUUAGAUUUUUCUUUUUCCCGAAAGAAGAAGAUCUAUUAUGGAUCAAUAUUUUAGUAGAAAAGUUAAUGUAACAUUUAUUAACUUACAUAGAAUGUAAUAGGGGUGAAACACUUACAAUUCUUCUGAUAGCUGGACGAAACCUAAAUGAAUCAAGUUCUUUAUAUAGUCAAAAAGUUAUAAGAUUUUUUGGUGUUAGGAUAAUUAUUGUAUUUAUUUUAUUGGGAUAGUUCUCCUUAUCUAAACAUAACCUAAAACUAUUUUUUUAUAUUAUCUAUUUUUUAGGUAUCUACUAAAUUUAUUUUACUUUUUUAAUAAAUAAUGUUUAAAUUAGUAUCUACUUUUAAAGUGUUUUUAGGAACUCGGCAAACUUAACUCUCAACUGUUUAGCAAAAACAUAAUUUAAGGAAAUUUAAUCUUAAAUGAAAUCUGCCCAGUGAAUUAUUUUAACGGCCGCAGUACACUGACUGUGCUAAGGUAGCAUAAUAAAUUGGCUUUUAAUUGAAGUCUAGAAUGAAUGGGAUUAUGGGAGAUAGCUGUCUUAAAACACUAAACUAAAAUUUACUUAAAAGGUGAAAAUUCCUUUAAUACUAAUGUAAGACGAGAAGACCCUUAGAAUUAUUACUAAUUCCUUUUAAAAGGUACGUUUUUGUUGGGGCAACAGGUUCAUAGUUUAACUGGACUAAAAUAAAAUAAAUAAUAAGUAUUAUAAUUGUAAAGUAAGAUCUUAAUUACCUUAGGGAUAACAGCAUUAUUAAUUUUUAGAUUGUGACCUCGAUGUUGGACUAAGGACUUUAAUAAAUAGCCUUUAUUAAAAAUAGUUCUGUUCGAACUUAAUUCCUUA
rnacentral:rRNA from 1 species